rnacentral:rRNA from 1 species
UACAGGGGGUGCAAACGUUGCUCGGAAUCAUUGGGCGUAAAGCGCACGUAGGUGGUCUGUUAUGUCGGAUGUGAAAGCCCUUGGCUUAACUGAGGAAGUGCAUCCGAAACUGGCAGGCUAGAGUACUAAAGAGGGUCGCGGAAUUCCCGGUGUAGAGGUGAAAUUCGUAGAUAUCGGGAGGAACACCGGUGGCGAAGGCGGCGACCUGGGUAGAUACUGACGCUGAGGUGCGAAAGCGUGGGGAGCAAACAGG